UAUGAUAUGAUACAGUAUGGAUAGAUUCAUGAUUAUGGAAAAUUAUUUGGUAAUUUAUGGUUCUUCAGUUAUUUACUUUCGUUGAUUGAACCCUCUGAGCUUAUGGGGAGCCAUAUUGUGUUAUUUACUUUUCCAAACUUAUUGGCUUAUGAGGGCAAUUUAGUAGUUAUAAUUGUGUGAUCUUUACAUUACUAUUAAAGAUUUAUUUAUUU
rnacentral:lncRNA from 1 species